CCCAACUUCUUGUCACUGAAACAUUAACCCAAAAAGAACAUCAGCAAUGGAAACUGAUCAAGAACAUGAUGAAAAAACACAAAACCCUAACAAUGAAACAACAAAAGAUGAAAUCAAACUCAACCCCACUUCAAAUUCAAAGCCAAAAGUAGUAUUGAUAAUGGGAGCAACAGGUGCUGGCAAAUCAAAACUUGCUAUUGAUUUGGCUUCUCACUUCCCUAUUGAAAUUAUCAAUGCUGAUUCUAUGCAGGUUUAUCAAGGAUUGGAUGUUAUUACCAAUAAAGUUACUCCACAAGAGCAAAAAGGAGUGCCUCAUCAUCUUCUUGGUACUAUCAGCCCCAGUGUUGAAUUUACUGCCAGGGAUUUCCGUGACUCAGCUAUUUCUAUAAUAAAUGAGGUAUGGUCCCGCAAUAGGUUGCCAGUUAUAGUUGGAGGAACAAAUUAUUAUAUUCAGGCUCUUGUGAGUCCAUUCCUUCUCGAUGAUUCUGUUGAAGAUGCAGAGGCUAAUUGCUUAAGCGACUCUCAAGAAGAUGAGCAACCUGAUCUUGAAGUCGAACUUAUGAGCGAGGAUUAUGAUUGUGCUUACAACCGUCUUAAAGAUAUUGAUCCAGUUGCAGCCAACAGAAUUCAUCCAAAUAAUGACAGAAAGAUAAACCAAUACCUGAAUUUGCAUGCACGAUUUGGUGUUAUUCCAAGCAAACUUCUUCAGGAGAGGACUGUAGAGAACUGGGGUCAAGUUGAUAAUUCAAGACAUGAUUUCUGCUUCUUAUGUGUGAAUGCAUCUCUUACCACUUUGGAUCCAUUUGUCGAUAGAAGAGUUGAUCACAUGGUUGAUGCUGGUCUAUUGAAGGAAGUUUUUGACAUCUACACUAUGAAUGCAGACUAUACAAAAGGCUUGAGGCAGGCCAUAGGUGUUAGGGAAUUCGAGCCAUUUCUUAGGCGUUACAUACCGGAACAUCAAAAACCUUGUGAUGAAUCUCAUGUGCAGACACUAAAUGAUCAGACAUUGAAGCAAAAUAUACAGCAGAUUGUGGAUUCUCCUGAUGAUAAUGAAUGGAAAGCUCUUCUAACUGAAGCAAUUGAACAAGUCAAAUUGAACACACGGAGACUAGUUCGACGUCAACGGAGAAGGCUUAAUCGGCUGCAGAUGCUGUUUGGAUGGAACAUACAUUAUGUUGAUGCCACAAAGUCCAUAUUAAGUGGUGCUGAUGAUAUAUGGGCAGUAGAAGUGGUCAAACCCUCUGUAGGAAUAAUAAAAUCCUUUCUCACUGGCGAAUCCAGUACGGAAAAUGGCGGCAAUGCUUCUGAAGAAAUGAAGUUGAAGCAAAAGGAUCUCUGGACUCAAUAUGUAUGUGAGGCAUGCGGUAAUAAGGUCCUUAGAGGCGCGCAUGAGUGGGAAGAGCAUCGAAAGGGUCGUCAUCAUCGAAAACGAAUUUCCCGGCUUAAGAAGUCGGGAAGCUUGUGCUUGUGAAGCAAAAUAUAUGUAUACCUCCUCUGCUUAUAGCACAGUUCUUUACAUUUUACCUGUCAUUUCUUUGCAUUGCCGGGGUUGCUUUUGUUCUUUUCGCGCUAAUAAGGCCUCUCUCUGUUCUUUUGAUUUGAGUUAGGUCCUUUAGAAGGCGUUCCCUGGAAGAGUGUUGCAGAAAGAUAUAGACUUACACUUCCCUUUUACGAUGUAGAAGGGAGGGCUUAGCUAGCGUUCUGGGAGAAUCUAUGUCAUUUAUUUAGUUCAUAGCUAUUUUUAUCUCAUCAAAGCAAGGGGUAAGGUUUCGAGCUUUUUCUCUUUCCGAUUAAAGACUUUCCCCUUCCUCAAUCCUUAUCCCGUAGGUACAGUGUUUGAAUCAAUAAAAACCUUUUCUUCUGUUUGAAUCAAUAUUAUUUCAUUACAAAUC